GAUGAAGAACGCAGCGAAAUGCGAUAAGUAAUGCGAAUUGCAGAAUUUCCGUGAGUCAUCGAAUCUUUGAACGCACAUUGCGCCCACUGGUAUUCCGGUGGGCAUGCCUGUUCGAGCGUCAUUAUCCUCCCUCAAACCCCGGGUUUGGUGUUGGACCCAAGUUGUGUGAACAACUGGUCUUAAAGACGAUGACGGCGUCCGUGGGACCCUCGGUGCAACGAGCUUUUAGGAGCACGCAUCGAGUUGCAAGGACCUUCCGGGCCGGUCUCCUUUACUAUUUUACAAGGUUGACCUCGGAUCAGGUAGGAAUACCCGCUGAACUUAAGCAUAUCAAUAAGCGGAGGA
rnacentral:misc_RNA from 1 species